CAUUUUCAAUGAGUGGCAACCUGAAGAUUCUGUUAAUUCAAAUGCUGAAAACCUAAGUGACGAUUAGAUUGUGUGUAUUAAUAUAUUUCGUACCGUUUCUAACGAUGUAACGUUUUAUAAUGCUAUACUUUUGCUAUUAUUGUUGAGUUUGAAUU